UACAGAGGUCUCAAGCGUUGUUCGGAUUCAUUGGGCGUAAAGGGUGCGUAGGUGGCGUGGUAAGUCUGGUGUGAAAUCCCGGGGCUCAACCCCGGAACUGCACUGGAUACUGCCAUGCUUGAGUACUGGAGAGGAGAUUGGAAUUUACGGUGUAGCAGUGAAAUGCGUAGAUAUCGUAAGGAAGACCAGUGGCGAAGGCGGCCCACUGGUCCGGUACUGACGCUGAGGUGCGAAAGCGUGGGGAGCAAACAGG
rnacentral:rRNA from 1 species